rnacentral:misc_RNA from 1 species
GAUGAAGAACGUAGCGAAAUGGGAUACGUAAUGUGAAUUGCAGAAUUCAGUGAAUCAUCGAGUCUUUGAACGCACAUUGCGCCCCCUGGUAUUCCGGGGGGCAUGCCUGUCCGAGCGUCAUUGCUGCCCUCAAGCACGGCUUGUGUGUUGGGCCUCCGUCCUCCUCCCGGGGGACGGGCCCGAAAGGCAGCGGCGGCACCGCGUCCGGUCCUCGAGCGUAUGGGGCUUCGUCACCCGCUCUUGUAGGCCCGGCCGGCGCUUGCCGACACAUCAAUCUUUUUUCCAGGUUGACCUCGGAUCAGGAAGGGAUACCCGCUGAACUUAAGCAUAUCAAUAAGCGGAGGA